UUGCACUCUCAUUGAAUGCUGUCGGUUUGGAUGGAUAGGGUGGGACAAGAAAGGAAAUCUUGCGGUGGAGCCGCAAGUCAAUCACAUGAAACCGAACGGUUACAUUACCCCAUCGUUCCUCCUUUCAAAAAGGAAGCAUUUCAUUUUGAAUCAAUCUCAUAAUUAUAAUCAUUAUCUUCAACCAUGAUCUUUUUCAGAUUGUGGUGAAUCAAAAUUAUGAAUUGGUUUUUCUCUGGAGCACCCUAUUAACCUUCGUCACUCAGUUGACGAAGCAAUGGUACUCGCAGUGAAUGAACUUCAACACUCUUUGUGUUGAGAAAUGUCAAAAGAUUAUCGUUGUUUAUGUUUACAACGCGACGACGAAUUCGAUGGUUCGCGAAGCCAUGAAUUGUAGCGUUUUUGAUACUAAAUUUAUCGCGGUCGAUGGCUAAAACGGUCGAAAAAAGUAUCCGCGGAGAGAACGUUUCCCGGGGGUGCACUGAAUACCGCGAUUCGACAUCAUUUUCCGGUCUUAUUUCCCUAGCUGUUCGUGAAUCCGCGGAGAUGGGAACCAAACUCUUACGCCGAGAAUCUCGAGUUUGCCAGGAUUUCAUGGAAAUCGGUCCGGACCUUUUAUGAAUGGUUUGGGACUUCGUGUGUCCGCGUAUGUAGCUCGACGGGAUGUAUGGAUUCGCCAGUUCGCUUGUCUCGAACUGGUCCCGCGAGACUACCAAUAGAGCGUACUUCCUGACUUCGGAGGAGUUGCACGUCUUCAUCUGCAUAACGGACUGGCCGUUCUUAAAUACCCUCAGGUUCUCUGGAAGACCCGAGCAGAAUAUAAUUCAUUAUUGUAUCUCGCUGUAUAUUUCAGGAGCAAAUUGAAUGAUUAAAUGGGUGUUUUGCUUGUCUGUUUUUUUUUAUGAAGAAAUUAUUCCUCAACAGAAAGACUUAUUGUAACCUUCGUUUCUUCCCUGUUGGUCGGGAAUCGAAGAAAAUUGACUUUUAAUUGGUCAUGGGACUUUUGGGUUUCUAUUUACCGGUUUCGCGUAUUUAAUUGAUGUAGGAGUACAA